UUAGGUAGAGGUUGCAAGAAACAUUAUUAAAUCUUUGGAGCUUAGCAAAGCUGUGAAAAAGAUUGAAAGGGGAUUUUGCCGAAAGGUUUGAGAGAGCUUAAUCAAACACUUGGGACUGAGGAGAAUAUCUUCAGUACUGACAUUAGUAGGACUAAUGUAGGGCUAUCAU
rnacentral:ncRNA from 1 species